rnacentral:rRNA from 1 species
GAUGAACGCUGGCGGCGUGCCUAAUACAUGCCAGUCGAGCGAACAGACGAGGAGCUUGCUCCUCUGACGUUAGCGGCGGACGGGUGAGUAACACGUGGAUAACCUACCUAUAAGACUGGGAUAACUUCGGGAAACCGGAGCUAAUACCGGAUAAUAUAUUGAACCGCAUGGUUCAAUAGUGAAAGACGGUUUUGCUGUCACUUAUAGAUGGAUCCGCGCCGCAUUAGCUAGUUGGUAAGGUAACGGCUUACCAAGGCUACGAUGCGUAGCCGACCUGAGAGGGUGAUCAGUCACACUGGAACUGAGACACGGUCCAGACUCCUACGGGAGGCAGCAGUAGGGAAUAUUCCGCAAUGGGCGAAAGCCUGACGGAGCAACGCCGCGUGAGUGAUGAAGGUCUUCGGAUCGUAAAACUCUGUUAUUAGGGAAGAACAAAUGUGUAAGUAACUAUGCACGUCUUGACGGUACCUAAACAGAAAGCCCCGGCUAACUACGUG